rnacentral:rRNA from 1 species
UACGUAGGGUGCAAGCGUUAAUCGGAAUUACUGGGCGUAAAGCGUGCGCAGGCGGUGAUGUAAGACAGAUGUGAAAUCCCCGGGCUCAACCUGGGAACUGCAUUUGUGACUGCAUCGCUGGAGUGCGGCAGAGGGGGAUGGAAUUCCGCGUGUAGCAGUGAAAUGCGUAGAUAUGCGGAGGAACACCGAUGGUGAAGGCAGUCCGCUGGGGGUGUACUGACGCUGAGGCGCGAAAGCGUGGGGAGCAAACAGG